rnacentral:rRNA from 1 species
UACGUAGGUGGCAAGCGUUGUCCGGAUUUACUGGGCGUAAAGAGCGCGCAGGCGGUCGUUCAAGUCGCGUGUGAAAGCCCCCGGCUCAACUGGGGAGGGUCACGCGAUACUGAUCGACUCGAAGGCAGGAGAGGGAAGUGGAAUUCCCGGUGUAGUGGUGAAAUGCGUAGAUAUCGGGAGGAACACCAGUGGCGAAGGCGACUUCCUGGCCUGUUCUUGACG